rnacentral:rRNA from 1 species
GAUGAACGCUAGCGGCAGGCCUAACACAUGCAAGUCGAGGGGCAGCACGUCUUCGGAUGGUGGCGACCGGCGCACGGGUGCGUAACGCGUAUGCAACCUACCUCUUACAGUGGGAUAGCCCAGAGAAAUUUGGAUUAAUACCGCAUAGUAUACAGAUUCAGCAUUGGGACUGUAUUAAACAUUUAUGGGUAAGAGAUGGGCAUGCGUUCUAUUAGUUAGUUGGAGUGGUAACGGCACCCCAAGACAGCGAUAGAUAGGGGCCCGUCGAGGAGGGGGAGUCCCCCACCACUGGUACGUGAGACACGGACCGAGACUCCUACGGGAGGCAGCAGUGAGGAAUAUUGGAC